rnacentral:rRNA from 1 species
GGUGAGUCGCGGGCCGGCGGCUGGGGGAAUGCGGGGGGGGGGUGCUUGUGCCGUAAGCACUGGGCGUAAAGGGCGGGUAGGUGGCCCGGUAAGUGGCCGGUGAAAGCCCGGGGCUCAACGCCGGGGCGGCCGGUAAGACUGGCGGGCUCGAGCACGGUAGAGGCAGAUGGAAUUCCCGGUGUAGCGGUGGAAUGCGUAGAGAUCGGGAAGAACACCAGUGGCGAAGGCGUUCUGCUGGGCCGUUGCUGACACUGAGGCGCGACAGCGUGGGGAGCAAACAGGAUUAGAUACCCCUUAGUC